CCCUGUCGGUUGGGGGCUGCUUCGGCGAGACUUAAAUUAAUCGACUACGCAUGUAGACGCUCACAGGGAGAUGUCGCAGGACGCGGGUUCGAUACCCGCCGCCUCCAUUU
rnacentral:tmRNA from 1 species